AAACACGGUGCCUAUACCACGUGACUUUUUAAGAUCUGUGUGGGGAGUAAAAUAUCAACAAAAGCGCGACGAAGGUAUGGCUCAAUGCUCCGAAUGCGGAAAAAUGUCGAAGACCAGAGCUGGAUUAUUGCGCCACAUUAGGGGACACGCUAACUCUGGAAACUAUAACUGCUGUGGGAAAGCAUUUCAGGAUGCCUACAAUCUUAGAAGGCUUCAACGAACAAAGGACCCCAAUGUCACGUGUGUGUACAGUGCGGCAGGAGCUUUGCGGACAAGUACCUACUCGUGGCUAGAGAGAAAAGUUCAAAAAAGAGGGAUUGGUGAAAUGUUACCAGUGUGGGUUGGCAGUUAGGAGUGAGAAUGACCUCAGAGAGCACGUCAAUAUUCACAUGCAUGACAAGUGUUACAGUAGUGAGGAGUGUUUCAAAACGUACAAACGCAAAACAAACCUUUCUCGAUACGUGAGGACUUCACAUAAAUCCGUGAAUACUGAUUAAAAAUCAUAAUAGUUUACAGUUUGUCUGUGUAACUUCAUUAUCGUUUUACGUUAUUUUAUUCGUUGUUUUACUUUUACUUUACUUUUCAAAAUGAUUCUAAAGUUAUCCGAAUUUGAUUAAUUUUUAGGUUUCGUUUAGUUCGUUUGUGUGUUUGAAAUCAUUCUCAAAUAAUUGUGCAAUAAUUUGGAUUUAAGUUAUUCAUUAAUAUAUCGCAUCUGUGAUUUGUAUUAUCGAAUCUGUGAUUCUUUUUUUUAAUUAUAACUUGAUUAAAGUUUUGCGAUGUU